AGGACUUUCUCACAGCUUAGCAGUUCUCCAAGAUGUCUGCACCAAUUUCAGCUUGCAUGGAAACUGUUUCUUAGCUCCCAGAUGACAUCUGUGAUCUGAUGCCUGAAUCUCUACAGGGGAGACUGACACUCUUCAGCUGCUAAAUUACACAAAGGAAACAGGAGUAAUUUUAUCCUACCAUUAGUUCUCUACAUAUGCUGUGAUCCUACCUGCAUAAGAGAUGUUGGGCAGUUAGGUCUUAGAGAAUGGGGCCUAGGUGUAGUUGUGAAGGGAAAAGACACCCUUAAUUAAAAUUAAAAGGAAAUUGCCUUUGGACAAUUCUCUCUCCUUAGAGCUGACCAAAAUGUUCCCAAAUAUUGUCAAAACUUGUCUGAUUUCUCACACAAAAAUGUAAAAAAUCAUCUUCCUGGUUUUCAGUGCACUUUCCACAGUAGGGAUUUCUUUUCCUUGCUUGAAGCACAAUAAAGGCUAUUCUGAGACUUAAGCAGCACACCCACUGCUCAAUUUUUUCUCAAAACUGUGUCCUAAAAAUAGUCAUCCAUUUCACCUGGGAGCUAAGCAGGUGCAAGUACAUUCAUGAGCUGUCCUGAAGGAACACAUGAAUGGCUGUCAGCAAAAGCAGCAGUCAGACUUUUUUUGCAAGGAAUCACAGAAUAUGCUGAGG